rnacentral:rRNA from 1 species
UCAGUAACACGUAGUCAACCUAACUCGUGGACGUGGAUAAUCUCGGGAAACUGAGGAUAAACCACGAUAGAUAACGGUGCCUGGAAUGGCCCAUUGUCGAAAUAGUUUACUGCCACGGGAUGGGACUGCGGCCUAUCAGCUUGUUGGUGGGUAAUGGCCCACCAAACCUGUAACCGGUACGGGCUUUGAGAGAAGGAGCCCGGAGAUGGACACUGAGGACAAGGGUCCAGGCCCUACCGGGGCGCAUCAGGCAGACUGAAAACUUCGCAAUGCGCGAAUAGUCGUGAACGAGGCUAGUCACGAGUGCUUCCUGCCUAAAGGGAGCCUUUCUCGGCUGUAAAUAGCCGGGGAAUAAGGGGAGGGCAAGUCUG